CGCAGAGUGACCGCCCAAAAGGGCGGGUAAUGCGGUCAGGCAGACGGUCACAAACCCGA
rnacentral:ribozyme from 1 species